rnacentral:rRNA from 1 species
AACGAACGCUGGCGGCAGGCCUAACACAUGCAAGUCGAGCGCCCCGCAAGGGGAGCGGCGGACGGGUGAGUAACGCGUGGGAAUAUGCCCUUUGCUACGGAAUAGUCUCGGGAAACUGGGGGUAAUACCGUAUACGCCCUUUGGGGGGAAGAUUUAUCGGCGAAGGAUUAGCCCGCGUUGGAUUAGGUAGUUGGUGGGGUAAUGGCCUACCAAGCCGACGAUCCAUAGCUGGUUUGAGAGGAUGAUCAGCCACACUGGGACUGAGACACGGCCCAGACUCCUACGGGAGGCAGCAGUGGGGAAUCUUAGACAAUGGGGGCAACCCUGAUCUAGCCAUGCCGCGUGAGUGAUGAAGGCCUUAGGGUUGUAAAGCUCUUUCAGCUGGGAAGAUAAUGACGGUACCAGCAGAAGAAGCCCCGGCUAACUCCGUG